rnacentral:lncRNA from 1 species
AACUUCAUUCAGUUUUAAUAUGAAUGUUAGUUUCUUAAACUUUCUCAAAUGUUGAACUUAAGAAGUUUUAUCUAUGUGGAAAUGUGUGAUAUUUGUGCAAGAUGGUAGAAUGUAUGAGGCAUUGUGCCACAAUUUUAACACUUUGGUGUUUCUGUGAGAUGAACUGUUCUGUGAUUAAACUGUUCAAUAUGAAAGAAUUCUGUUUAUUCAUGAACCGUUAUUGUUAAGUUUGUGCUAAUGAUUCUAGCCAGACAAAAUGUGUUUGAAAAAUGUAGAAGAAUGAAAGUAUUUCAAAGUGAAUGUGACUAAUAUUUUUAAAUGAUAAAAAUCAGAUUUAUUCCUAUUAUUGGAGCUGCUUCUUAACCAUUGUUCGGAUAUGAAAGAUUUUUAAAGGAAUGUUUAAAUUCUUAAUGUUGUUUAUUCAACUGUUAUGACUUGCUGAGCAAUUGAAUGCUCACACUUGUUUUAAAUAAAAACAUUUUCAGCGAACGAUGUUAGAACGAACUAAGGAUCCCGUAAAGAUCAAGCUGACCGGCAUUCUGACGAAGUGUCAUUCAUGAUAUGAAUGAGCAUGAAGAGUAAGCCAAGACUUGUAAUGUAGAAUAGUUUAAUUAAGUUAUAGAUUAGUUUAAUGAACUAUUAUGUAUCUUUGGUGGCAG